GCGGACAGCCCGCUCCUCCGCGCCCCUCCGCGCCCCUCCGCUGCCAGGGUGAUAUUCCUUUUCCACUGCCUGGGAGAUGUCCGGGGAUGUACUCGUGCCAAAGCUGCUGUGCAGCAAGGGUGGUCCUACUGCGAACGAUUUUGGUAUUUAGCUCUGUUUUUGCACCUAGGGAACACUCCUGUUGCUGCUUUCUUCAGAAAGGUGUUUGCUAAAGAGCAUUUAUAGCUAAAGUCAUGUACAUUCCCAAGUUUUAUGAGGUUUUCAGUAAGACUUCCCCUCUUAUACCUGAUAUUGACCUAACAUUAGGUCAAUACUGAAAUUAUUUCAGUAUUUCCUUGAAGAAAAAUAUAAGAUCUGUUUUUUGUCAGAAGAACUGUGUGUUUAUGUAUCAGCAUAUUUCCAAUACAGGAGUCUGCCUUAGGUAAAAUUGAAGAUGUCACCCAAGGCAGUGGUCUCUGGAAUCUCCUCCACACACUCAGGCCCCUGAAUGUGGUCCAAGUCCAGCUCCCCAACUGCUCAUCUUCUGUGUUCUGACUUUUCUGUGUGUGGAAGGGUAGAGAUGGCAAGGAAAGAGCAGAUGGAAAUCUGCAACUAAGAAUGAGACUGCAGAGGGAUUUUCUAUUUCAGUGUGUUUGUUUGGGAAACCUUAAGUAGACAGCACCUGGAAACACUAGUGGCAGAGUGUUAAUUUUGAUGAUAGACUCAUCAAAUAAACUGAGAGAAAACCUCUGAAGAUAUAUUACCACAACUCUGGCAUAUUGAUGCUGAAUUCCUCAAUUGCUUGAGGACCAUAUUCAUGAUGGGCUUUCACUUUUCUCCCUGCAUUGGAUCUGUUCUGCUUUGCAUGAUUUGCCAGCUGGAAAUUAACACGGGGGGAACAAGACUGCCCUGGUCCCAGGUUAUGUCUGAGCACAUGGGCUACAUCUCAAGACCAGUGGGCCAGUCUCUCAGACUGUGCUUCCAAGAGUUGAGUGCCAUGCUGUCUUCCACAUUCCUUUGGCAGCAGUGGGAGGGGGCAUGUCCCUACAGCAAGUGUCCAGGUCCUAGCCCACACUGGGGCUGUGCUGUUACCACCAGCUGACUGGUACCUACACUGCCAGAUGUGUGCAGUGGGACUUGUAUGCAGGAAUGCAGCUUCCUCUCCUUGUGUGUGGGGUUCUGCUGCUGUCAGGGCUCUGCUGCUAGGCAAGAGAAUCUUCUUGUUCACCUGCAGCUUUGUAUAAAGCUCCCUUUCACUCGUCAAUCUGAAUUAAUAACACCACUUAAAUAUGAAAAGGUUUACCAAUUACCUCCUGAGUUUUCAGCAUUCAUUUCGGUGCUAACAUUUACCAAAGAAAAUAAAUUACAAUUAUAGGACUGUAUAUUUAAAAUCUCAUUUGUCAUGUCUUUUCCUUCUCUCAGAUCAUUGUUCACUAAGUUCCUUAUAGAUUUAGACCACUGGGUAUGCUUUGUUCAGCUGUACAAUUUAUAUCAUGUAGAGACAGGGCUUUCCUUCAGGUAUUCAACAAAGCAAUUAACAACCCUCUGAGUACAAACAACAGUCUUAUGUGAUGGAUGAUCACAUGUGUAUCUCCUCUAGUUCUGGUGCCAUUCUGAAUUAAUUUUAAUUUACACUUUCCUGGAAGGGAUUUGUUUUGUAUCCCUGACUUCCAUGCACAGAGCUCUGUACUAUCACCAGUUGUACCAGGAAGCAGAGCAUCAGGGAGGUCUAAUGAAAUAAGAAGCUGCCCUGAACCCAAUCAUUCUCUUUCAGGUCACCAAGGACAUCCUCUGUAUAAUGCUUCCUCCCCUACACAGCAGCCCUUUCCAUGAAAACUCAGGGACUGGAAGUAGGUGCUGCAGGAGACUAAGUACAGUAUGGCUUAUCUGGGAAAAAGGGUUCUCUAUCUCACUUCAUUGAAAGAAAAGGCAAUUUCUUACUCCUCCAUGCAGUUACCUGGGACCUGGCAAAGCCCAUAGGAUAGAUUAUUUGUCCUCUACAUCUUGAUGACAGACAGGUCUAUGGAGAACAUCAAGUCUGACAAAUAAGUCUCACUUAUCAAUCUCAUAAUCUGUCAGAAAAUGAAUCAGUUUCCAAAUAGGUGGAAAUCUGUGGGUUGCAUGAAAAGCAUUAGACUAUCAGAUAUUGCCUCUUUUAAAUGCAAAUGCUUUUUCCACUCUGGUUCCAGUCAGUAUUAAGGCAUUCUUUGAAAGAGAAGGAAUAAUCUUCUUGGCAGAUGCUAGUGGUAUAUUUGCAGUGCAGGUUUCCAUGAUGUAGCUCAUGGUAGGUGAAGAAUCCUUUGCUCACAGGGAAAGAUGCUAUUUUUCUGCAUGACAUCAAUUUUCAGAUUAUGUCCAUCAUUUUCCAGAUCAAUUAAAAAUCCAGAGCAGAGGGGAAAAUUGAAUAAAAUUAAAAAGCUGUGGAUAUAAAGUCUUUGUUUAAAAAAUGAUUAAGAAAUUUGAAUAAGAUCUUUCUGAGAGUGAUUUUUUUCUGUGUGGUCAAAGUGUAGAUUUUUACUCAACAGGUCCUGAUACACAGAUUUCUGGAGAUUAUUUUGCCCUUACCUGUUUUCCCAUUCAAGGUACUCUAAGAUGACACUUAUUGACAUGGUUUAUUGGUGGACUUUGCAGUUCUGGGUUUAUGGUUGAACUUGACCUGAAAGAUCUUUUCCCACCUAAAUCAUUCUAUGAUUCUAUGAUUAGAGAACUUUCAAAGCAACACAAAGGUGUUGAAAUCUCUUUCUUUCUCCUCUGAAAUAUCACAGCCAGGGACGUUGAAUGAAAAGGUUUUCUGUGGUGUGGCUGACCUGGGGUCGUGCCAGCUGGCGGAGUUCUGAGACAGUAACAAGAAAAUAGGUCACUUCCACAUACUGUUUCUUUCACUUCUUAGCCCCCUAGCAGAGUGGUUUGUACUAAUGCAAACCCCACAGUCAUAAUCUUAAUAAUGGAUGCAAACCUCUAAAAAGUAAAGGGAUAAGCAGUGUGCAAUUCAGACCAGUUUUGAGAAGAAAAAAAGAAAAUAUGCAAAUCUGUCAGGGAAAGCCCAUUUCCAUGAGAUUUUUCUAAACUAAUCCUUUGGCUCUCUAACAUUCUGUCUUCUUCUGUGGCACAUAUUUCACCCUAGCUUUAUCAUGCUAUGUAAAACAAAAGGUAAAAGAGGUUACAUUUUAGAUUGACUGUUUAAUCUAUCAGCAUUUCCUUACAACUGUCCUGAACACAGAAAAAAUUCCCUAUGCACCAUCUAUACUUUCUUUACAACAGCCCCUAGGAAUCUAUUUAAUGCAUCAUUCACUAUUCACCUGCAGACCAUUUCACUCCGGUUUGCUUUCUUAUAUACAGAUUUCAAGGAUGCACCAACACACUGACAAACUUUUUGUGCAAUGGACAAUUUCAGCCAUAUGUUUAAAUGAGUAUUUUAGAAAAGUAGGAGAAAUUAGGUAGCAGAUUCUGUCCAGAGAAAGGUCUGAGUUUUCCUUCUUAAUGGUCCCUAGUUCACUAGUUGGAUGGAACAGUUCUCAGGCUUGACCACAGGUCCAUGUCCCCUGAGAGGAAUUUAAUCUGAACCAGUGACUCCUAAAGAGUGUUACAAAACAUAUAUCAGCCCCACUGACUGUAAUAACCAGUGCACUGUGUGCUGCUGCUUUGAAAAAAACCCAAACAAACAACUUUUCUUGCUAUAUGCUAGAAUAAAGAAUGUGAAAUACCUGCUUCUCCCAAGCUCUCCAGCACUGCUAAUGAUUUUACUAUAAAUUAGACUUAAAAACCAGCAGAGCUUUACUGACAUUUUCAACUAUCUGCGUGGGACUGCAUUCUUACUGCCCUUAGAAUUAUUAAUGGCAAAAUAUUGUGGCUACCUGCAUAUCCUGAAAAAAAAAUAUUAAUUUGCUUCAUUUUCAAUGCAUGUCUGCAAAUGGAUUCUAAAGUCCUGAAAGAGGUAUUACUCUUUUGUUAUAUGGAACUACUAUAGUCUCUUUUUAUUAUGCAAUUAUGGAAAAAAAGUUUAAAUCACCAAUACCUGUAAUAAAAAUGAAAGCUUUGGGCUUUGUGGUUUUUUUAAAAUUUAUUUUCUGCUUUGAUUUUUUUUUUUUCUGUAUAAAAAGAGCAAUAGAAAAUCAAAUGUGAAUUUGAUUUGCUUAAUUUUUCUCUAUGACCUCGGAAGGUCAGAGAACCAAUUCAAAUAACUAAAUCACUAAUGGCUGUCAUUGAAGUAUGCGCACAGGAGCAUGUUCCUAUUUCAUGAACCACAAACAGGACUUCUCUACCUCUUAGAGGAGCUGCAGAAUGAGGCAGCAGCUUCUGUCAAACGGGGAGCUGCAGAGUGCCAGAGGGUGAAGGCUGAGAUUAGAGUAUUUUAGGGUGAGUCACAGGACUGUAUUUCAUUUCAUUAGCUCAGCACUGACAUGACAAGACUGAGGACAGUUGCUCAAUGGGUUCAUUGAUACCGGAACAUAUGGAAGACUCUGUCUGUCACAAUCUUAUUAGUGGGAGGAUUUUGCUGUCCUUUGGACAGCUUUGGAUGGACUUUAGAAAGCAAAGAGGAUACAGCUGUUAAGCCUCACCUUUCACCUUGGCUAGGGAAGUUUCUGAGAGCGCAGAUGGUGCUCAGUUUCAAGCAAUGAAUCACUGUCACAAAGUCUGGGUUACCUAAGGCCGUGUGAUGGGCUGGUCCUGGCUGAGUGCCAUGUGGCCACCAAGCUGUUCUAUCACUCUCCUUCCUCAGCAGGAAAGAGAGGGAGAAAAUAAGAUGGAAAAAAACCCCCAUGUGUAAUGAUAAAGGCAAUUUAACACCAGUGCACUGAAAUGUGUUUGAUUAAUCUAAAUGAACCCAAAGGGAUAGGAACCAGCCACAUGAUUUUGGUCUGGGCUUUCAAAAUAAAAUUAUAAAAUAGAUUUACUAUUAUUACAUUGCCACUACACAUGGAAAAUGUUUUUGUCUUCCAAUUCACUGAAAAGAAUAUUUAAAUCAACCAUCUUUUCAUGUUCAGAUAGAUCUUUUUAUUAAUCACUGCUGUUUCAAAGCAAUAAACUCACAAUAAAUCAAGCUUCUGAAUUUCUUGAUGACGAUGUGGUGAUGUUAAUUUUUUCUGAAAAGCUUAAUUUACUUCUAUUAACUGUCUUUCCUUUUCAACCUAUACACUUAAUAAUAUCAGUUUUUGUAAUGUUCAUACAUGUUAUAUGCACACACAGCCUUUUGUUUCCAAAGUUUGCCCUGAAGCUACCAAAAACCUUGGCCUCACAGCACAUCUGAAACUACAACAAAGGCCUGAAACAAAGUGCAGGAAAUCAAAGAGCUGGAUUUUCAAAGCUCCUUUUGAUAAUCUAAGUGGAGACAAUUCACCUAAUUACUUUUCUCUAUGUUUUAAACUCUAUUAAUUGUUUUCCACCACAUCUGCUCUCUAGUGUCACAUAGAUUACUCUUAACAGGAAGCAGUAGCAGAAGAUAAAAGGAAGAAAAAACCCAAAUGAACAUGCUAUGAUCUUUACAAGUAGCUACAUUUGCAAGCAAAACCACAGUGUAUGAAAUCACAUGACCAGAAGAUUUCUUUUGUACUCUCUAUUUCCAGUUAUAUUAUAUACAUUUUAAUGCAUUAAAUAAACUGUGUGCAGUGGGCCAGCACUUGACCAAUGUUCCACUUAGAUGUCAUUUAAGCUCUGGCCACCUCUGUUCUCUCCUAAAGCCUUUUGUGCAAGAGUUAAUCCAGCUCAAGAGGAAAUAUUUAACCUCAUUACGAGGAGGAAAAUAAUGACAAAGUAAGAUUUUGAAUAAGAAUGGACCAAAAUCUGACUAAGUAGUUUCAAAGUGGUUUUAAUACCUUUUGUGCAGGAAAAGAAAUCUUUAAUUUGCCAUGGGAAUAAGUUUCUUCUGCUUCUAUAAUGUAAAAAAUCAUAAGAAGUGUUUUUUGUCUAAAGCAAUGAGCAAAGACUUUGAUAUGGCUGUGACAUGGUAUCAACAGAGAAAUGAAAACAGGGUAGGGACAGAUAAGUGCAUGUAAUUGUCCCUUUAAACAUUUUUCGAUAUGUUUUCAUUCUUUUUUGCCUCGUGAUAAUUCAAGAGAUCAAUCAGAUAAUUACGUAAAUGUACAAGAUGUGCUACCCGUCCAAGGAAAAGGUUAGUGCCAUCAUAGGCCGUGUAAAUCUUCUUUUAUGAAAAGGAACACAAAUGAAAUGAUCACCUAAGUCGAGGUUUUAUAAAAUAUUGACUAGGAUUAUGUUUCCUGUGGGAGUAAUUUGACUUUAAUCCCUCAUUUGAGAUUCUAUUCCUAUGUACAUUAGAUGAUCAAUCAAGAGAUGUCAUUGAACAGCAGGUGGGAAUAGGUCAAAACUGCAAUAUGCUUACCUUAAAAAUUAUUGAAUAUUUGUUUUAUAGAGUUGCAAAUAAUGGCAUAGAUCCUUAUGUUUUGAUGGUGUUCCUCAUAGCUCCAGCUGUGUGGGAAAUGGAGAAUGUGUUGCUCCCAAGGAAUGGAAAAUUGAUUCCAGACAAUACUUGUUGCCAAGAGAAGAAGGGUUUCAAGAAACCCAAAAGAAAACAAAAGUCAAUGCAGAAUAGGGAAGGUGAGGUUUUUAGGUGACACUGUAUAAGGACAUCACUUCAGGAGUAAAACACAUGAACACAGUUUUAGAGCCCAACUUCUGCAUAAAACCUCAUUUUAAUGGAUGAUGGCAAAUUGUGGAAAUCUGUUAAUGUAUGGUUAUCUAAGGGUAGCAACGACCGGGUUUUGGAAAGCUGGAGGAACCAUCAGUGGUAUGUCUAUUCAACCCUUCUGAGAAGUUCAUUUUUCCU